CGGUUAUCUGCGAAGAAGGAGCGUCCACUGGGGACCCGAGACCCACUUAAUCAGCGCCCUGAGUAGAGACUCAUUUGAGGCCUCCUGUGAUGGUUGUGGAUAAGGACGCGGCCCCGGUGGCUAUGGAAACCUAGGAAGACAUGAUCCCUGGAGCUGUAGAACAUUUUGUGACUAUGAGAAAGGCCAAGAGAAUUGCACACCUGCCAGCCAGAGAUUGUUGAACGGCUGACCCAAUACCGGCAACCAUCUACCUCCAGAUUUCUUGUUAUACCUUACUCUCCUGUGCAGCUCACAAUGUGGAGAGGUUGUCCAGUGCUGCUCGUCCUCAUGUUCCCUUCACCUUCACUAGACCACAAUCCCGGCACGAGAGGAUGGGUACGUCGUGUGCCUCUGCCUUCCUCACCUGUUCAUAAUUACAACAAACCACCAACACACCAGUAUCGCGAAAAGAAGCUAAUACUAUCAAGGCUGCUCUGAGGGAUAAAUGAAGUAAUGCACGCUGAGCACCUGGAACUCGCACGGCGGCCGACGGUUACCCUUCCUCUUCAUUUCACGUCCGUUGUGUGCUUAGGGUACGGGCUGUGGACUGUAAACAGCCCUGCAUUU